CUCUUGCGCUGUACGGCUGCAGCGCCUUGACUUGUUCACUCAGGAAAGAACAGAAAAGUCGCUCCCAGCUUUCUCCUGCCCGUGCGUGUAACAGGCAGAGAAAGAGAGGAUGUCAUCACGCACUGACGCGUCGGGGCAUCCGCCCUGGUGACGAGCUGCUCCGGGAGGAGGAGCUUCUCACCGGCUCCUGGCUUAACCUGCCUGAACCGGCCGACCCGGAGCCUGACCCCCACGCCGCGCUUCCAGGGGGGGUCAGCCAGCGCAUCCUGUCCGGAACAGCCAGGAGGAGGAGGAGGAGAAACUAGACGCACUGACUUCCUUAUGAGCGUAAUCCAAUUCAAACGGAAUGCCGUCACACCUGUCUACGCGCGAGUCGCACUGCAGACUGGGAGAAGGGAGAAGAAACGAGGAAAUAUGCCUGGAAGCAGAUGUAGCGCCUUUCUUCUUCCAGCCCGAACUCCUCGCCCCCCGCUCCUUCCGCGUUCUUUCGCCGUCUCCCUGGUGCUGCUUCCAAGACCGCAGCCCCGAAAGAUUUGGGAGUCAUCGUGCUCA